rnacentral:rRNA from 1 species
GCGGGGUUAGUUAGAAGCUUGCUUCUAACUAACCUAGCGGCGGACGGGUGAGUAACACGUAGGCAACCUGCCCACAAGACAGGGAUAACUACCGGGAACGGUAGCUAAUACCCGAUACAUCCUUUUCCUGCAUGGGAGAAGGAGGAAAGGCGGAGCAAUCUGUCACUUGUGGAUGGGCCUGCGGCGCAUUAGCUAGUUGGUGGGGUAAAGGCCUACCAAGGCGACGAUGCGUAGCCGACCUGAGAGGGUGAUCGGCCACACUGGGACUGAGACACGGCCCAGACUCCUACGGGAGGCAGCAGUAGGGAAUCUUCCGCAAUGGGCGAAAGCCUGACGGAGCAACGCCGCGUGAGUGAUGAAGGUUUUCGGAUCGUAAAGCUCUGUUGCCAGGGAAGAACGCCUUGUAGAGUAACUGCUNNNAGAAGUGACGGUACCUGAGAAUAAAGCCCCGGCUAACUACGUGCCAGCAGCCGCGGUAAUACGUAGGGGGCAAGCGUUGUCCGGAAUUAUUGGGCGUAAAGCGCGCGCAGGCGGCUCUUUAAGUCUGGUGUUUAAUCCCGAGGCUCAACUUCGGGUCGCACUGGAC